UUAAAGGCAAUAAUUGUCAUUAGCAAUCAUGACAACAGAUGUUAAAACCCUAAUCUCACUUUCUUAUGCAGUCACUACAAGAAAAAGGAUAUACAGUGACGUUUUUUUUUAUGAUGUUUUUCAAAAACGUUGUGAAAUCUGUUCAGAUUUUUCAAAUUUCAAAAAAAUUAAACUAAACCAUCUCGUUUUGUGCACUGAUUAUUUCUUUUAAACAGUGGCUGAACAAGGCUAUGACGUUCUUCUAUUCUGAUUGAACAGAGGUGUGACUUUAGGAAGAGGGAGAAAUCGAGGCGUUGGAUCUUCGAGGCAUCAGAUCUUCGAUCUCCAUCAAUUCUUCAGUUGUUUGAUCUGAAAAAUCUUGUUCUACUCGUGAUUUGAGCGUAUAUCUUCCUGAUUGUUCGAAUCCCUAUGAUAUAAAUCGAUCUAGGGCUCAAGAUUAGGGUUUUCUGAUAUAGAUUAGCUACAUUCACACAAGAUCUAUAAAAUUUCAUGGCUAAAACUAACGAUUUGGAAUUGUUUUCUCUCAAUUUAGUUGAUUUCUAGCUUUUUUUUUUUGCUUUUGUUUUGUGUUCUCUCCUUUCGUUUUUGUUCCUUUACUCUUUCUAGUCCUUGUGUUGAAAACUCUUCUCUUUCAUCAGAUUGAGCAGCAGCAAUGGUGAAUUGAUUUAUCUAGGGUUUCGAGUCCGGUGUUAGUGUCUCUGAUCAGGUACGAGACAAGCAGGUGGUGUUGGAUGUGGAUUGUUGGAAACAGUGAGUAGAAGCUGAUGAAGAGAUGUAGAUCUGCUCUCUCUCUCUCUCUGUGAUUUGCUAACAUGGCAAUAUCAGAUCUGCUUUGUCUCUCUCUAGUCCAUUAUUUUGCCUUUUUUUUUGGAAUCUCAUUUUGGCAUUUCUUGCUUUCUAACUCACCUAAUAAUCAUUUCGUUGUAGUUCCCAUGUAAAUUGAUAAACUUGCAUCUUGGUAUGUUCUCUGAGUUUCCUUCUUUUUCAAGCUACUACACAUGGGUGGUUUUGUUAUUGACUACUUGUGCAAAGAGCCAAGAAAAGAAAGGUAUUUUCUUGAUUCAUAUCUUUAACUAUUUUCUUCCUCUGGAUAUUGAUAAUAUAAAAAAUUUGUUUGGUUGGGUUGGAUGCAGGAAUUGGGAUGUAGGCAUAUUGGCUCGACAAGAUUUGAUUUAUUUUCUAUUUCCCUCUGUCUCCAUUUCUCUUAAAUAGGGUCAAUAUCUUCUGCUCAAUUAAAUUUAAAUUCAAAUAUGUCAUUGGGUUUCCUUUUUAUUUGAUUAAAAUUCAAAUAUACAUAACAAUAUGUCAUUGGGUUUCCUUUUUAUUUGUCAAUUUUAGAGGGAUUUUGUUGCAAUUCUUCUUGAUUGAAGAAAUUAGUUAGUUCACUCCGUCCUAGUUUGGCACAAACCCACUUAGCUGUGCUGCAUCACUGUUACUGACACUCUUUUUUUUUUCAGUUUCUUUGAUUGUGAUAGAAUUUGAUUCAGUAAUAGUAUUCUGGGGCUAUUUAUGCUUAUGGUGUCUGUUUUAGUUGGUAAUUUUUUGUUUUUUGUUUUUUUGAUUGGCAACAAAAGAAAUUUCAUUAGAAAGUAAUGGAACAAAAUAGAACAGAAAUGCGAUCUUUGGCGUUGACGCCAACAUGGUCUGUUGCUACUGUAAUGACAAUCUUUGUUGCUGUUGUUUCUUUGCUUGUGGAGCGAUCAAUUCACCACCUAAGCAAUUGGUUACGGAAAACAAAUCAAAAACCUUUGUUCGAAGCUGUAGAGAAAAUGAAAGAAGAAUUGAUGCUUCUAGGCUUCAUAUCUCUCCUUCUCACUGCUACUUCAGGCGUUAUAUCAAAUAUUUGCAUCCCAACAUCGUUCUAUGAGAGUGUGUUUUCUCCUUGCACCAAAUCUGAGGUUCAGGAUGACACUGAAAAUAAUGUUUCACAGGGUCGUAAACUUUUGAUGGCUUUCGUUCUUUCUCACUCUAUUGUGAAGGUUACAUUCUUUUUUGCAGUUGCAGUUACUUAAUUCAGUUGUUUGCAUGUCUUGUUUGUUUUUCUUGUCUAGUUGGUAGAAAGAUCUCCAAAGUCUGAAGAAAAACAUUAUGUACUGUUUUGGUGUCUCCAAAGUCUCAAUAAAAAUUAUGUUUUUCUUUAUUGCAUGUCUAUGUCAAUCUGCUAGUUCCAAGGGAGCUGUUGCCUUGGAUGAAUGGUGUGAAUGGAAUUUAUAUAAUAUACUCCCUCCAUCUUGAAAUAAGUGUCUUGCUUUUAUUUUUAUUGGUCCCAAAUUGAAUACAUGCCCCAAUGGAAAAUUCAAAGCAAUGUUCUUUUGCUUCCCAGUGUUACCAGUUACGGAAAACAUGUUACAUUACAUAUGUUAUAAAAGCAAGCAAUUUUGGAAGAGUUUAUGCCAAAGAGAUGCAGUGACAGUGCUUGGAUUUAUUGUUUCUUUCAUAAGCUUUAUGCUUUUUCAAACAUAACACUCAUUUGGGAUGGAUAAAGCAAAAUGAUCUGGAUUAUACCUUCUAGAAAAUUGAUGAUAUAGUGAUUAAUACAGGCCAUUUGUAACAUUUAUUUUUGUGGGUCAUGCUGCCAAUUAUACAACACAGACCAUGUAAGCUGUGUUAAUUGGUCCUUGUAUUGUUGAUAUGGUUCUACUGCUUACAAAUUUGCAGAAAACUGUGUUGAGUAGGCUUUUUCUUCUUGUUGCUUUGCUGGUUUGAGGUUAUGCUCUAGUGUUAGUGACAUUAAGAUUAUAUGCUUUAUUGAGAUUUUGUAAUUUUUUUUUUAAUUUAUUGUAGUGAUUAAUCUGCAACACAUACAUCCUUUGACAUUAAGAUGAAUAAUGUGCUGUUCAGUUUUGUUUAUAUUAAGUUGGAUUUGUCAUGUAUUCAUUACAGCAUCGUAGUCAAAUUUAUGCAAGACAAGGACUUCACAAUUAUACUUCAAUUGAAAUGAAACUACAACACUUGUGUGUUAUUUUCUGCUUAAUGGUUGUCUUUGUAAUAAUGUGAUCAGAUCCAUAGUCAGAGGAUAUGGGAAGUUGAGGCUUAUUUGGAAUAGCAUGAAUUAUUAACUAGUAAGAUCUAAUGCUUGAUAUAAUUUACAUGAUUCUCAGCAUUUUCUAGACCCCUAUAUAUAUUCUAGCCUUGUUCUGGUGGACCGGUAUAGUUCUCCUUUUUAUAUGCUUUAUUUUUAGCUAGAGAUGUAUUUGUACAUUAAAAAGAAAAGAAUAGGGAGAAGGAGUGGGAAUCUAUCAAGUAGAGAGAAAGGAAUGCCUAAAGAAAAACAUAUGAGGUAGCAAAGUGAAAAGAAAGGUAACAGUUGAUGUUAGAUUACAACAACCAAAGAGUAAACUCCAAGUUUUUGUUAAAACUACAAAUUUUUGUUGCCCCAAUUAGUAAAAGAGUUGCCUAUGAAUUAGAUUAGCUAUAAUUUAUAAAUACAUUUGAAAAAUGCAAUUCUCAACAACACAAUAUCAUGUUUUGAUGAUGAAUGUUUUAAAAUUGCCAUGGAAAGGUCAAUUGGGAGUUGGGAAUCUACAUGCAGUUGACAUACCCCAAAAUCUCAGGGAAGAUUUUUGGACCUGUUUUCUCAUAUGAUGUUCACCUUUUGUUAUUGAUACAACAGUUGGAAGAUGGUAUUGAAGACAGUUGAAUUAUUAAAUUGCUUUGUGAAUUGUUUUGUGGUUCUCUUUUUUGUGUUUUGAAAGAUGGUAUUGAAGACAGUAGAUCUUUUGAAGAAUGAAAUUCCAUUUGAGGAAGAAUCAGUAGUUUUAUCCAAAGAUGUCAAGAUUGGUUUAGUUCUCGUCGACAUCAUCAAUGGCUUCUGUACCAUUGGAGCUGGAAAUCUGGUCUCUCUCCUCUCCUCUCUCUUUAUCUUUUCAUUAUUACCCAGUUUCAAUUAUUUUGUAAUGGAUAGAUUUUUCUUUACUUCAAAUUAAUAUGGAUUAGAUUGUCCUCAUCUGCUAACCCACUUAUACAGCAGAUUGUUUAAACUUGGCUUAAAAAGCUUGGCGACUUUAAAAUCUAUUCAAGUUUAGCUUGUUCACAAAACCAGCUAAUCUCAAAUGAGUUUUUAGCACGACACAGAUUGUUUGGUUCUCUUUGUGGUCUGAAAUUGAGUUGUUAUGUUAUGAUGGUUGAGUUUGUGUUUGGUUGAGUGUUUUUUUCAGGCACCCACAAAGCCCAACAGUCAGAUCAAUAAAAUGAUCGAUGAAUCGGCAAGACUGGCAAAAGUGUUUUGCAACAAGAAAUGGCCAGUUCUUGCAUUUCUUGAUUCCCACUAUCCUGGAAAACUCGAACAUCCCUAUCCUCAUUGCAUCAUUGGCACUGAUGAAUCUAAUUUGGUUCCUGGGAUAAGUGCACUCUGUUUUCUCUGUUUUUUUUGAUCUAUUCAUUCUAUAAUUCAAUUCUCAGUCUCUCUCUCUCUCUCUCUCUCACGUGUAGCUCUGAAAUGGUUGGAGAAGGAACCAAAUGUAAUGAUAUGGCGAAAAGAUUGCUACGAUGGAUAUCUGGGUUCAAUGGAAGAGGAUGGUUCUAAUGUGUUUGUGGAUUGGGUGAAAAAUAACCAGAUUAAAGCUGCAUUUAGAGUACCACCUUAGCAGCCAUGGCAGAGUGAACUUAAUGUCAUGAAGUAGUAGUAGUGUGUCAUGAUCUGCUAAUGUCUGUAAAUAAUUUUAAUUUUUUGUUAUGUCAUAAAUUUCCAUUGGUCAAAUUUGUAUUUUUCUAAAAAUAUUUAUGGCUUAAUUGGUUCCAAUUUAUUUUGAAUGUUAAAGGUGA